CGUAGGGUCCGAGCGUUGUCCGGAAUUAUUGGGCGUAAAGGGCUCGUAGGCGGUCCGUCACGUCGGGAGUGAAAACUUGGAGCUCAACUCCGAGCCUGCUUCCGAUACGGGCAGACUAGAGGUAGGCAGGGGAGAGCGGAACUCCUGGUGUAGCGGUGGAAUGCGCAGAUAUCAGGAAGAACACCGGUGGCGAAGGCGGCUCUCUGGGCCUUACCUGACGCUGAGGAGCGAAAGCGUGGGUAGCGAACAGGAUUAGAUACCCUGGUAGUCCACGCCGUAAACGUUGGGCGCUAGGUGUGGGGGACAUUCCACGUCCUCCGUGCCGCAGCUAACGCAUUAAGCGCCCCGCCUGGGGAGUACGGCCGCAAGGCUA
rnacentral:rRNA from 1 species